CUUCCGGGCUCGGCAAGCUGGUGGUAAUGCGAGGAGCUGGGGAGUGUCUGGAUUGUAAUGAAGUUUAAAGGGCGUCUAGUGCUAAAUCACCAUGGCAACAUCCCCAUCAAGAGAUCCUCGGGCCAGGGUUGCUUCAGGGGCCCAGAAUCCGCUCAGAAAGAUGUUCACCAUUGCUAAACCCCAAGCACUCCAACCGAAGUUACAACGUUGUUUUGACUCCAAGGCUUACAGCAUUAUGCCAAGGAAAAUAAAUGACUUUUUCCCACUA